AUGAACGCUAGCGGCAGGCCUAACACAUGCAAGUCGAGGGGUAGAAUUAGCUUGCUAAUUGAGACCGGCGCACGGGUGCGUAACGCGUAUGCAAUCUACCUUGUACAGGGGGAUAGCCCAAGUAGAAAUUUGGAUUAAUACCCCAUGGUAUAAUUAAUUUGCAUGAAUUGAUUAUUAAAGUUCCAACGGUACAAGAUGAGCAUGCGUCCCAUUAGCUAGUUGGUGUGGUAACGGCAUACCAAGGCGACGAUGGGUAGGGGUCCUGAGAGGGAGAUCCCCCACACUGGUACUGAGACACGGACCAGACUCCUACGGGAGGCAGCAGUGAGGAAUAUUGGUCAAUGGUCGGAAGACUGAACCAGCCAUGCCGCGUGCAGGAAGAAGCAUCUAUGGUGUGUAAACUGCUUUUGUACGGGAGCAAUAAGGUCUACGAGUAGAUUGAUGAGAGUACUGUACGAAUAAGCAUCGGCUAACUCCGUG
rnacentral:rRNA from 1 species